CAGAAAACGAAACAUACUCAGCGCAAAUAUUAGUUUUGAUGAUCAGAACGUAGUAAGAAGCAAUAGAGUAAGAGAUUUGGGAGUAAUAUUGGAUUCAAAACUAACUUUCAUCGAUCAUUAUAACUUAAUUGUAAGCAAAUCCAACAACAUGUUAGGUUUUAUAAAACGAUUCUGUUACAAUUUCCAGGACCCAUACACAAUAAAAACACUAUAUACAGCUUAUGUAAGGCCAAUCUUAGAAUAUUGCAGCAUAGUUUGGUCCCCAUUUUCAGCUAUUCAUGCCAACAGAAUUGAGUCAGUUCAAAAACAAUUUUUAUUAUAUGCACUACGAAAGUUAGGGUGGACCGAAUUUCCACUGCCACCAUAUGUAGCUCGUUGUAAGCUCAUCAAUAUUCAUUCACUGAAAGUGCGUCGAGAUUUAGCAAUGGUAACUUUUAUAAACAAUAUUGUUUCAAACAGAAUUGACUCAACGGAGCUAUUAUCAAAACUUAAUUUUUAAGUUCCAUUACGAUCUUUACGACAUCGUCAAAUAUUCUCCGUAAAUUAUCAUCGAACAAACUAUGCAAAAAAUGGCCCAAUGAAUCAAAUGAUGAUCACUUAUAAUAAACAUUGUGACACUAUUGAUUUAUCGAUGUCCAAAACACAGCUGAAACAGAUCUUCUCUCGUAUUAUAAGCUAAUGACACUUUACAAUAAGUUUAAACAGUAUCAACAUUAUUUAAUGUUAUUUAGAAUAGUUAAGAAUACAAAUGUAAAUAGGUCUACAAUUAUGAUUGACGACAAUAAAUAAAUAAAUAAAUAAAUUAUCGGAUUCUCGGAAAAUUGGAAAUUGUUAGCUUAAAAUACCUACGGUGCAAGAUCUACUCAUAUUAUUUGUAUCGAGCUAACAAUACCAGGAAUCGGAUGUAAGACGGUAAAAAUACGACCAAAAACUGUUGCCUAUAUUAUUCGAGGGUGAAUCCAAACUUUUGGCAGAGAGUGUAUAAAAAACUGAAUAGCAAAAUUUGAAAAUGUGUUAUUGAGAUGUUAUUGUAUGUAAUUCAUGAAUAGCAUAAAAAUAACAAAACUUUUUACCACAGGUGAAAUUUGUUAUUCACCCUUAUUCUUGUUUACGUACGAUCGAAAGCCGGAGCAUUCUGGUUUACGCCAACUAAAUCAAAUAGAGGAACGAGUUUCGUUCGUCCGGAAACAAGAAUAGGGGCAAUUAUUAUGUUAUUACAGUAUACCCCCGCUGAUCCGACAAAUGUAUGGCCGGACUAUCGGGGUUUCUCUCGUUAAUCCGAUUGUCAAAUCCAUACAAAUGAACCAAAACAAAAUCACAGCACAAUUUGAAAACUGACAGCAUAAUGUGUUUAAAUGGGUGUUGAUACUUUUUAAUCCGGAAAAUUCCGAAUUAGCGACAUCCGGACUAACGAGUCGUCGGACUAGCGAGGUCCGGAUAAGCGGGGGGAUACUGUAGUUUGUUUUUCACAUCUACCCGGGAUGGUUGAAUUGACUGCCAUAAUUUCAAAUGUGCUAUUAAUCGCUAUCAAUUUGGGGGCAUUAUGCGUAGCUAAUUACUUUGAUUACCCAAGUAACAUUUCAAGUUUUAUUCCGCUCUAGGAGUGGUUUUCAAGAUUAAAUAAUAAGAUCGACCAAUAAAACUCACUAUAACACGACAACCUUUUGAUGAUCACUAUGAGAGUAAGAUAUGGCCAAGUGGCCCUCCCUGGAUAACCGCUAUAAACCAUUUAUAAGAGUAUGAAAAACCCCCUUUUAAACUACCCGCAGAAAAGGGAAUUUGGCUGCGGCAGGUGUCAAAAAUGUUGCUUUGAAAAAGAGAAAUAAAACUUUGCCGAAAAUGAUAACAAAAUAAAUAAAUGGUUGUUGAGGAUAAUGAUGAGGGGGGUUACAAAAUAAUGUAUUUUACAGGAUUGUCAUUCAUUGUACUUUACUUAAAAUGAGGUGCGCGUUUUAUUUUAUGGUGAAAGCUAUUGCGCAGAUUCCGCCUUAUUAGACUCCUGCGCGAAAAUUAUUUGCGUGAAUAUUUUCCCCGUGUCACAGAUACAAAUUAAUUAGUACUGUUUGCUGUUUGUUUGAGUGAACAAAAACACGUGUGUACGUUAAAUAACAACAACAAAAAACAAUUACAAAAGUAGUUCAAAUGUAUUGGUGUGCACGCUAAAAAUUCAAAGCAAAACGAAGUUACGCCAGAGUCUAAAAAUUUAUGCAACGGGCAAUAAUAAAAAAAUUAGAUUGAUCACCAAGCGCUCUCAAAAUAGCGUAGUCUUGGGCAAUCAAAUAAAAAAUAGUUAUAAAAGCAAUAUCGUAAAUCUCCACUGAUUGUGUUGAUUUUCCACCUCAAUAUAUUUUUAAUGCAAAUUAUUUUCAAAAACGUGCUGAAAACAUCGUCCAAUCAUGAAAUCCAGUGAUAAUAUCACUAACUUGGAAUUGCUUGUACCUUUUCAACAUGGCCACCAUCAAUUUCGAUCAGAAAAAUGCGGUUCUUAUUACAAACCGUUUUAAACUCUUCGCAAUGCAAAUAGUCUUAUUAGGGUUAUUAAUUUGACAACAUUAGGACAAAAAAUUAUGGCAUUAUUCGAGCUUUGGAAAUAUGAUUUAUUACGCUCUUCAUCACAACCGUAGAGCUGCUCAUAAGAUCAAUACGCAUUUGACGUUUGAAGCUUUUUCAGAAUAUUUAUGAGAGGUUUAUUGUUGGAAUAAGAACGACAAUAAAACUGAGCAACUAGCUUUGGUGAUUGCUAUUUUAAGUCCACUAUAAUUCAAUUAGCAUGGAAAUUAUUACUUGGGUAGUGAUGUAUACUGUAAAUUGAUAAAUUAAUAUCUUUCCGUGUAAUCAGCAGAUGUUCAGCAAGCGCAGCGCGCAACACUGCUGUUGUUUAUUUUAUUAAAUAAAUCAGAGCCAGGAGCUCUCUUCUGUUUUACACCUCGAACGAACAACACGUAUUUUUAUACUCCCCAAGAAACCCCCAGUUGUAGUUAUUCCCUGCAGUCUUAUUAGUGGCGACGAGGAAAAAACGAUCCGACGGAUUACCGCAGGUCGAGAAGCCGGAACGCAUCAACCUUUGCCGACGGAAAAAAAUCAACCGAGACAGCGACUGUUGAUUCAAUUAAAGUGAUACCGUGAUAGUGAUAAUUAAUCACAAUUGCAUUCAUUUGGUGGCAUAUAUUUCGGAGGUGGCAAAGUGCACUUGCCCACCGAAACGCCAUUUGCUUAUACGGCGUCGGUUUCAAGCAAAACAAAAAGUGUUUUUGAAGAAUACCUAGUAUUUCAAUACAAUUGUUUUGAGUGACAAAUCUAUUACAUUACAAUGAAAGUGAUUUUUCUUUUAUUUGAGACAUAGGGGCAUCUGCACAGUGGACCGUUUGUGCGGCGGUAGUGGUUUAAUUUUGAACAUUUCCCUUUCGCUCCGUUGGAAAGUUUUCUGGUUCCUUCACCUGGGAAUCGUGGUGAUAGCGAAGGAUUCAUCGGGUACCAAGACGCAUCUGCUUGUUCAUCGCAUCGACAAUUGGGAAUGGACAGCAACCAAAGGACGGUAGACCAGCGUACCUGUGACUACUGCGGACAACAAGGACACGUGCGAAAAAGGUGCCGUGAACAAAAUCCUAAAAGGAGCGAUGAAGUUGAACAUGUCGACAUGCAAGAAUCUUCUGUGGCUCCGGAUAACUUGUCCAAGCGUCUGGAUAAUGAUUAAUUAUUUUAGAGCGUCUUCGGGGAAAUGCUACAACGUUAAAAGACUAUUAUUCUUCCAUUAAAUAGUGGAAGUAAAUGGAAGAAUAAUAGUCUUUUAACCUCGUCAGGAUAAUUAAAAAAAAAGAAUUAGUUGUGAAUUGGAUAACAAUGAGCCAAGUGAUUCCGUAUUGGAGUGUAUGGAUGUUUCUUCCAUCGAUAAUUUUAGUAGUUCUUGUUUGUUGAAUGUCUCUAUUGAGAAUAAUUUGACAAAAUUGGAGAUUGACAGUGGAUUUAGGACAGCUGCUCCAAAUUUCAACCGAACAUUAAGUAAGAGGUUUAAUAAAUUAUUUGAGAUAAAUAGUUCCAGGGUGACAAUUUCUGGUCAAGAUGAUGUUACGUUUGAAUUGAAUAGGACAAAAGCAAUAUUUAAUCUGCUAGUGCUUGAUUGCUUUUAUCACUUUAUUCCAUUACAGGGAAAAACGUGGUUGGAUGAAUCCUUUCCCAACUGGAGAUUUUUUUUGGCGUUUCUUUGCCAGGAAAUAAUAUUCGCCAAAAACAACAUAAAGCACUUACUGCACAUAUUAAGAUUAAAUGUGCUGAUGUAUUUGUCAGAAAUUCUAUUGCUAAUUGUGAAGCAGAUGUGAUUUUAAAAAGUAAUUUACCAAUUUCAAAACAAGAUAAUGACUUUCCUUAUGAUAUGAGGCAGAAUAAUUUUAAAAUUUUUGUAUUCAGUUUCAAAAUUCCUAAUAUAUUUUCGUCAAAAUCUUUAUUUGCGAGUUUUAUUUCGCAGAUGGUUUUGAAUGUGUCAGUUCCAAUACAAUGUAAUAAAUUUGUGAAAAGUAAUAUUAUAAAUGAUGAUUCUUUGGUGAUUUCCAAAUGAUUCCAAAUAAAUGAUAUAUUUCAGAAAAACAGAAUUUAUUUUACACGCUAUUUGUGGCCUAAGAAAACUGACAAACAUGGUUUUAAAAUGCUUAGAACUAAACCAGAUUUCUAUGAUCUUGGCGUGUGUUUAUUAUUCCAGGACAAAGUGAACAUUACGCAGAAAUUUCAAGGAGAAAUGAUUAAACUUGAACGUGUCAUUCAUGAUGGCAUCAUUGAUAUGAUAAAAUCUGUAGAACAAGCGGUUCACUUGUUUGGUUUUGACACGAAUUUUGUUGCUGUUUGUGGCGUCUGUUCCAAUUUGGCAAUCAUUCCAAAACAUAAUAUUAAUUCAAAAUUUUCAAACAGUGUACCUACUAAGAAACCAUCGGUAGGAAAUGAUUUCUCUAAAAGUGUGGAGGUAAAGCGAAUGAUUAAAAUUGACAACUAUUUGGUAGUCAUAGCUAAAUUAUAGUUAUUCAUUUUGCGAGUUUUUUAUUGGACAACGUCACAAUAUAUGACAAUUGUUUCUUACAUAAAAGUUGUAAGUUGUACUUGGAAAACCAGAUUAGUUUACGCUUAAGCUUUAAUGAUACGACAAUGGUUGGAAAUUUUUCUCCUGAAAAAUACUAUACCCAUACAUCUAAGAUGUUAAUCUGUUUGAUUAAAACAAAAAAGCAUAACAAAUCGCAUAUACGUGGAAAAUGGAUCAAAGCAUCUUUUCUGAAACGUUUUUCUCAAAAUGUAUUACAGAUCAUGGUUGGAAACGAGGCGACAACAACAUCCCAUCCCAAUCAGAUCAGAGUCCUUGAGGAUGGACAUGGAGUUACGGGUCUGUCGAAGCGGGUAAUGCGAGUGGUCGAGACUGGUCGUCCGCUAUCGACUGUCGAGAUUCCCAAGAAUGGUCGACCGUUGUGGACUGCAGCAGAACGCAUGAUGAAACCCGUACUGAACGAGAGCGAUAUCUGGCAAUUACCAGGUCAUAGCAGUGGAAGCGCCUCGAAUCAACGCAAGUUAAUGAAGAAUAAGAAUAGGAAAAGAAAAUUCCCGUCAGAGCCGGUAGAGCUUUCUGGCCUACCUACACUGAAAGAAGCGGCAUGGUAAUGCCUACUAUAUCGAAGGUGAAAGUGAAAACAUUUUACCACUUGAUUUCGGUAGAACGCAAAAAUCAUUUAAAACGACUACAUCGUGUGGUAAGUUUUACUAUGCCUCCUUGAGCGAAUCGGUAUAGCAGAUUUCACCAUAUUUUUGACGUUGCUACUAUGCGCGUGCCGACUGUAAACAUAGUAAAUUUAAAUAUGUACUUUGUCUCCUCGUACUAUUUUAUCGUGGUAUCAUAGUAAUCUAUGCAGCUUUCAUUCUGCUUUUGGGAUAUUUUAAAUAAACAAAAACAAAUCGAAGUUCAAAAUACAAAAUACAGAAUUAAAUCAAUAA